rnacentral:ncRNA from 1 species
CGUCAGCGGUGUUUGCCACCUCGAUUAAAUUUACGAUAGUUGAGGUUAAAUGGGGUUAAUUGCAAGGAAAUCUAAGGUUUAUAUUUAAACUAUGACAACUUGCAGCGAAUUUAAUUAUAUAUGCUCUUAUUGAGAAAGUAAUUAAAACGUUCAACGACUAGUAGGUGAGUAAUAUAACAAUAACCCUACCACGAAAUCCCAAAUAAUUAUACUUUUUAUUUAAAUAUAGAAAUUAUAAUUAUUAAGACAUAGUCUGAACUAUAUAGAAAUAUAUAG